rnacentral:rRNA from 1 species
GGGGCUGUAGUAGGUCCCAAGGGUUGGGCUGUUCGCCCAUUAAAGUGGUACGCGAGCUGGGUUCAGAACGUCGGGAGACAGUUCGGUCCCUAUCCGGCGCAGGCGUAGGAAAUUUGAGAAGACCUGUCCUUAGUACGAGAGGACCGGGAUGGACGUACCUCUGGUGUACCAGUUGUUCUGCCAAGGGCAUGGCUGGGUAGC